rnacentral:rRNA from 1 species
GACGAACGCUGGCGGUAGGCCUAACACAUGCAAGUCGAACGCUCCAGCAAUGGAGAGUGGCAGACGGGUGAGUAACGCGUGGGAACCUUCCCUAUGGUUCGGAAUAGCUCAGGGAAACUUGAGGUAAUACCGGAUAAGCCCUUCGGGGAAGGAUUUAUCGCCAUUGGAUGGGCCCGCGUAGGAUUAGCUAGUUGGUGAGGUAACGGCUCACCAAGGCGACGAUCCUUAGCUGGUCUGAGAGGAUGAUCAGCCACACUGGGACUGAGACACGGCCCAGACUCCUACGGGAGGCAGCAGUGGGGAAUAUUGGACAAUGGGCGCAAGCCUGAUCCAGCCAUGCCGCGUGAGUGACGAAGGCCUUAGGGUUGUAAAGCUCUUUUGGCGGGAAGAUAAUGACGUACCGCAGAAUAAGCUCCGGCUAACUUCGU